AUCGAUGAAGAACGCAGCGAAAUGCGAUAAGUAAUGUGAAUUGCAGAAUUCAGUGAAUCAUCGAAUCUUUGAACGCACAUUGCGCCCUUUGGUAUUCCGAAGGGCAUGCCUGUUCGAGCGUCAUUAUAACCACUCAAGCUCUCGCUUGGUAUUGGGGUUCGCGGCUUCGCGGCUCCUAAAAUCAGUGGCGGUGCCUGUCGGCUCUACGCGUAGUAAUACUCCUCGCGUCUGGGUCCGGUAGGUUGCUUGCCAACAACCCCCAAUUUUUUUUACAGGUUGACCUCGGAUCAGGUAGGGAUACCCGCUGAACUUAAGCAUAUCAAUAAGCGGAGGAAAAGAAACCAACAGGGAUUACCUCAGUAACGGCGAGUGAAGCGGUAACAGCUCAAAUUUGAAAGCUAGCUCUUUUAGGGUUCGCAUUGUAAUUUGUAGAAGAUGCUUCGGGUGUGGCCCCGGUCUAAGUUCCUUGGAACAGGACGUCAUAGAGGGUGAGAAUCCCGUAUGUGACUGGGUGCUUUCGCUCAUGUGAAGCUCUUUCGACGAGUCGAGUUGUUUGGGAAUGCAGCUCAAAAUGGGUGGUAAAUUUCAUCUAAAGCUAAAUAUUGGCCAGAGACCGAUAGCGCACAAGUAGAGUGAUCGAAAGAUGAAAAGCACUUUGGAAAGAGAGUUAAACAGUACGUGAAAUUGUUGAAAGGGAAGCGCUUGCAACCAGACUUGCGCGCUGAUGAUCAUCCGGGCUUCUGUCCGGUGCACUCGUCUGCGCUCAGGCCAGCAUCGGUUUCGGUGGUGGGAUAAAGGCCUUGGGAAUGUAGCUUCUUUCGGGGAGUGUUAUAGCCCUCGGUGCAAUGCCGCCUACCGGGACCGAGGACCGCGCUUCGGCUAGGAUGCUGGCGUAAUGGUUGUAAGCGACCCGUCUUGAAACACGG
rnacentral:rRNA from 1 species